ACGGGAGGCAGCAGUGGGGAAUAUUGGACAAUGGGGGGAACCCUGAUCCAGCGACGCCGCGUGAGUGAAGAAGUAUUUCGGUAUGUAAAGCUCUAUCAGCAGGGAAGAUGAUGACGGUACCUGACUAAGAAGCCCCGGCUAACUACGUGCCAGCAGCCGCGGUAAUACGUAGGGAGCGAGCGUUGUCCGGAUUUACUGGGUGUAAAGGGUGCGUAGGCGGGCUUGCAAGUCAGGCGUGAAAUCCCGCGGCUUAACUGCGGGGCUGCGCUUGAAACUGUAAGUCUUGAGUGAAGUAGAGGCAAGCGGAAUUCCUAGUGUAGCGGUGAAAUGCGUAGAUAUUAGGAGGAACACCAGUGGCGAAGGCGGCUUGCUGGGCUUUAACUGACGCUGAGGCACGAAAGUAUGGGGAGCAAACAGGAUUAGAUACCCUGGUA
rnacentral:rRNA from 1 species